rnacentral:rRNA from 1 species
UUACCCGGGUUUGACAUACAGGUAGUAGGGAACUGAAAGGGACCGACCUUCGGGAGCCUGAACAGGUGCUGCAUGGCUGUCGUCAGCUCGUGUCGUGAGAUGUCCGGUUAAGUCCGGUAGCGAGCGCAACCCUUGCCGUAUGUUACAAGUGUCAUACGGGACUGCCGGUAUCAAGCCGGAGGAAGGUGGGGAUGACGUCAAGUCAGCAUGGCCUUUAUAUCCGGGGCUACACACACGCUACAAUGGUCAGUACAAUAGGUUGCAAAGCCGCGAGGUGGAGCCAAUCCAUAAAGCUGGCCUCAGUUCAGAUUGCAGGCUGCAACUCGCCUGCAUGAAGUUGGAGUUGCUAGUAACCGCGCGUCAGCCAUAGUGCGGUGAAUACGUUCCCGGGCCUU